GAAGACUUUUAACUCUUGUAUGUGACCUAGCCUUGGAGUCCAGGAAUGUUAGCCUGAGGAAGUGGAAAUUCAGCUGAAGGACAUGUCAAAGGACAUCCACCGGCAUAACACAGCUGGCCUCUUCUGAUUCCUUACACAUUCCUCCCCCCAGGAGAUGAACUGAUUUACCUGACUGAAAAAUUCCUAGACAUGUACAUAGAAGAGGGAAAAUGAAGCACAAGAAGAUUAAGUAACUUGAUCAGAGACAUCUCAUAAUUGACAUCAGGGUUAAAAGUCAAUCUAUUAAGCAAGUAAUAAAACACCUGGGCACAUAAUAAGCAUUACUAAUUGUACU